UAGGGAAUCUUCCACAAUGGACGCAAGUCUGAUGGAGCAACGCCGCGUGAGUGAAGAAGGUCUUCGGAUCGUAAAGCUCUGUUGUUGGUGAAGAAGGAUAGAGGCAGUAACUGGUCUUUAUUUGACGGUAAUCAACCAGAAAGUCACGGCUAACUACGUGCCAGCAGCCGCGGUAAUACGUAGGUGGCAAGCGUUGUCCGGAUUUAUUGGGCGUAAAGCGAGCGCAGGCGGAAUGAUAAGUCUGAUGUGAAAGCCCACGGCUCAACCGUGGAACUGCAUCGGAAACUGUCAUUCUUGAGUGCAGAAGAGGAGAGUGGAACUCCAUGUGUAGCGGUGGAAUGCGUAGAUAUAUGGAAGAACACCAGCGGCGAAGGCGGCUCUCUGGUCUGCAACUGACGCUGAGGCUCGAAAGCAUGGGUAGCGAACAGGAUUAGAUACCCUGGUAG
rnacentral:rRNA from 1 species